ACUAUGAAGGCAUUAGGGGAGUGGCUGCUCUGUGCUCAUCUGACACCAGGCUGGAGAGCUGACAGACGUCAGAGGGAGGAAGGGAAGCGUGUUGUCGACUCUGCCUGUUGAAAGUAAACUCUACUGAUGGUCCUUACUACCAGCUGAUAUUCAUGAAGAGCAGUGAGUACCUGGAACCGCGCGGCCUAUUUAAGAAAGAUUACAGAUGUAGGACAGCGCUGUGUCAUACCUCUGUGAAGAGCUCACCUUCCUGGUGUCUGGGCGUCCGCAGCUUCUUGCUCCUGAAUGGAACGCGAUUGAGGACCAGCAGUCCAGUCAUCCGUAGCAAGCCCCUGCUCAGCUGCUGCAGGAGAACCACCCACUUGCCUCUGUGGCGUCCAGUGAGGAUGAUCAGAAUGGCCCCAGGAGUGAUGCUGGCUGGCAGCUUCUCACAGGCGGACUGAAGGGCAUCUUGCCCUGGCUCAACAGCUUUCGAGGCACAUCUUCAGCAGGAGAGCAGGCCCACAAGCAUGGUGAGCAUCCCUAAAACUCGCCGGACCUUCUGUAAGAAGUGUGGCAAGCACCAACCUCAUGAAGUGACACAGGACAAAAAGGGCAA